UUACAGUACAGAGAGGAGCAGAAAGUCUAGAGAAGAGCUUACAGACUAGAGAAUUUCAUGCCAAAUCCUACCUGUUUUUAAAUUAGAAUCGCCGGAGUUGUUUAUAAAUUACUAUAUCAGUGGAGACGAAUGGGAUGAAAGAAGCCAUAUAAAGCAGCAGGAAGAAGCAACAUAGGCUAGUGAAAAGAGCUGGGGCUUAGGAGUCAGAAGACCUGCUUUCUAAUCCUGGCUCUGCCACUUGCCUGCUGUGUGACCUUGGGUUUGGAUCAAAACACUAGUGCUAUUGAAUUUGAAACAAAGACAAACAUAAACUGAGCCUUUCAACAACAGUGAAGGUGUCAGCCUGACUGGAGCCCAAGAAAUUUACUUGGAAUUUCUGAGAGAGAUAAAUUUGGUCCAAACAAAAUUUGGUGCUUUUUAUGAAGAUCUGACCAUUGUUCAGGAUGAUUGGAAAGUGUCUGAAGGUGGAGGAGUAUUUGAAAUAAGGAAUAGGAAGUGUCCUCCUCUUGUCUUAUGCUGUCAAGUCUACACUUCAAGAAAUGUGCAUUUGAUGUUGGUUCAGUGGAAAGAGCAUGGAUCUCAGCUCUACAAGGGACUCCUGCUGGGACUAUCAUUAACCAGGACCUCAAGAGUUUCUUCUCCUGGGUUUCCAUUAGCAAAAGAUGCAGGUGGUUUUUGGUACUGGCCUGGAUAAGACAUACAUGUUAAUUCAAAUUCCCCAUGAAUCCUCCUCCUGAGAAUUCAACAGGAAAAGACAUUCACUAUGUGAACAGAGUUGAUUUUAUUGCUUGGGUCUAUGAACACUUGUAUGUUACUUAUACUUGACAUGGACAUUCAAAUGAGGGUCUUAUAAAAAGCUGUCAUUUUAGCCACUGCAGAUGUUCGGUUUUCUGGUCAGGUUUCAGGUCAGUGUCUAAGUGGUUAGUUUCUCCCACUUCACAGCAGUUAUUGUCAAUUUCCACUAAGCGCCUUUAUCUUGGAGGCCUGGUCACUCUGUAAACAACCCCCCCC